rnacentral:rRNA from 1 species
AGAGUUUGAUCCUGGCUCAGGAUGAACGCUGGCGGCGUGCUUAACACAUGCAAGUCGAACGAACCUUCGGGUUAGUGGCGGACGGGUGAGUAACGCGUGGGAAUCUGCCCUCAGGAGGGGGAUAACGGCUGGAAACGGCCGCUAAUACCCCAUAUGCCGAGAGGUGAAAUGAAUUUCGCCUGAGGAUGAGCCCGCGUCUGAUUAGCUAGUUGGUGAGGUAAUGGCUCACCAAGGCUUCGAUCAGUAGCUGGUCUGAGAGGAUGAUCAGCCACACUGGGACUGAGACACGGCCCAGACUCCUACGGGAGGCAGCAGUGGGGAAUUUUCCGCAAUGGGCGAAAGCCUGACGGAGCAACGCCGCGUGAGGGAUGAAGGCCUCUGGGCUGUAAACCUCUUUUCUCAAGGAAGAAGAUCUGACGGUACUUGAGGAAUAAGCCACGGCUAAUUCCGUGCCAGCAGCCGCGGUAAUACGGGAGUGGCAAGCGUUAUCCGGAAUUAUUGGGCGUAAAGCGUCCGCAGGCGGCCUUUCAAGUCUGCUGUUAAAGCGUGGAGCUUAACUCCAUCAAGGCAGUGGAAACUGUUGGGCUUGAGUGUGGUAGGGGCAGAGGGAAUUCCCGGUGUAGCGGUGAAAUGCGUAGAUAUCGGGAAGAACACCAGUGGCGAAGGCGCUCUGCUGGGCCAUAACUGACGCUCAUGGACGAAAGCCAGGGGAGCGAAAGGGAUUAGAUACCCCUGUAGUCCUGGCCGUAAACGAUGAACACUAGGUGUCGGGGGAAUCGACCCCCUCGGUGUCGUAGCCAACGCGUUAAGUGUUCCGCCUGGGGAGUACGCACGCAAGUGUGAAACUCAAAGGAAUUGACGGGGGCCCGCACAAGCGGUGGAGUAUGUGGUUUAAUUCGAUGCAACGCGAAGAACCUUACCAGGGUUUGACAUCCUGCGAACCUUUAAGAAAUUAGAGGGUGCCUUCGGGAACGCAGUGACAGGUGGUGCAUGGCUGUCGUCAGCUCGUGUCGUGAGAUGUUGGGUUAAGUCCCGCAACGAGCGCAACCCACGUUUUUAGUUGCCAGCAUUUAGUUGGGCACUCUAGAGAGACCGCCGGUGAUAAACCGGAGGAAGGUGUGGAUGACGUCAAGUCAUCAUGCCCCUUACAUCCUGGGCUACACACGUACUACAAUGCUACGGACAAAGGGCAGCAAACUCGCGAGAGCAAGCAAAUCCCAUAAACCGUGGCUCAGUUCAGAUCGUAGGCUGCAACUCGCCUACGUGAAGGAGGAAUCGCUAGUAAUCGCAGGUCAGCAUACUGCGGUGAAUACGUUCCCGGGCCUUGUACACACCGCCCGUCACACCAUGGAAGUUGGCCACGCCCGAAGUCGUUACUCCAACCCUUGUGGAGGAGGACGCCGAAGGUGGGGCUGAUGACUGGGGUGAAGUCGUAACAAGGUAGCCGUACCGGAAGGUGCGGCUG